rnacentral:rRNA from 2 species
CAUUGAUUGAUGGUGCUUGCACCUGAUUGAUUUUGGUCGCCAACGAGUGGCGGACGGGUGAGUAACACGUAGGUAACCUGCCCAGAAGCGGGGGACAACAUUUGGAAACAGAUGCUAAUACCGCAUAACAACGUUGUUCGCAUGAACAACGCUUAAAAGAUGGCUUCUCGCUAUCACUUCUGGAUGGACCUGCGGUGCAUUAGCUUGUUGGUGGGGUAACGGCCUACCAAGGCGAUGAUGCAUAGCCGAGUUGAGAGACUGAUCGGCCACAAUGGGACUGAGACACGGCCCAUACUCCUACGGGAGGCAGCAGUAGGGAAUCUUCCACAAUGGGCGCAAGCCUGAUGGAGCAACACCGCGUGAGUGAAGAAGGGUUUCGGCUCGUAAAGCUCUGUUGUUAAAGAAGAACACGUAUGAGAGUAACUGUUCAUACGUUGACGGUAUUUAACCAGAAAGUCACGGCUAACUACGUGCCAGCAGCCGCGGUAAUACGUAGGUGGCAAGCGUUAUCCGGAUUUAUUGGGCGUAAAGAGAGUGCAGGCGGUUUUCUAAGUCUGAUGUGAAAGCCUUCGGCUUAACCGGAGAAGUGCAUCGGAAACUGGAUAACUUGAGUGCAGAAGAGGGUAGUGGAACUCCAUGUGUAGCGGUGGAAUGCGUAGAUAUAUGGAAGAACACCAGUGGCGAAGGCGGCUACCUGGUCUGCAACUGACGCUGAGACUCGAAAGCAUGGGUAGCGAACAGGAUUAGAUACCCUGGUAGUCCAUGCCGUAAACGAUGAGUGCUAGGUGUUUGGAAGGGUUUCCGCCCUUCAGUGCCGGAGCUAACGCAUUAAGCACUCCGCCU